rnacentral:rRNA from 1 species
GACGAACGCUGGCGGCGUGCUUAACACAUGCAAGUCGAACGAUGAAGAAAAGAAUCGAAGCUUCGGCAGAAAUUCAUUUCGGAUUAGUGGCAGACGGGUGAGUAACGCGUGAGCAACCUACCUCUUACAAAGGGAUAGCCUCGGGAAACCGGGAUUAAUACCAUAUAACAUUGCGACGAAGCAUUUCGCUGCAAUCAAAGCUACGGCGGUAAGAGAUGGGCUCGCGUCCCAUUAACCGGAUGGUGAGGUAACGGCUCACCAUAGUGACGAUGGGUAACCGGCCUGAGAGGGUGAACGGUCACACUGGAACUGAGACACGGUCCAGACUCCUACGGGAAGCAGCAGUGGGGAAUAUUGCACAAUGGAGGGAACUCUGAUGCAGCGACGCCGCGUGAGUGAUGAAGGAAUUCGUUUCGUAAAACUCUGUUCUAUGGGAAGAAAAGGACUGUACCAUAGGAGAAAGCUCCGGCUAAAUACGUG